CGCUGGCGGCGUGCCUAAUACAUGCAAGUCGAGCGGACAGAAGGGAGCUUGCUCCCGGAUGUUAGCGGCGGACGGGUGAGUAACACGUGGGUAACCUGCCUGUAAGACUGGGAUAACUCCGGGAAACCGGAGCUAAUACCGGAUAGUUCCUUGAACCGCAUGGUUCAAGGAUGAAAGACGGUUUCGGCUGUCACUUACAGAUGGACCCGCGGCGCAUUAGCUAGUUGGUGGGGUAAUGGCUCACCAAGGCGACGAUGCGUAGCCGACCUGAGAGGGUGAUCGGCCACACUGGGACUGAGACACGGCCCAGACUCCUACGGGAGGCAGCAGUAGGGAAUCUUCCGCAAUGGACGAAAGUCUGACGGAGCAACGCCGCGUGAGUGAUGAAGGUUUUCGGAUCGUAAAGCUCUGUUGUUAGGGAAGAACAAGUGCGAGAGUAACUGCUCGCACCUUGACGGUACCUAACCAGAAAGCCACGGCUAACUACGUGCCAGCAGCCGCGGUAAUACGUAGGUGGCAAGCGUUGUCCGGAAUUAUUGGGCGUAAAGGGCUCGCAGGCGGUUUCUUAAGUCUGAUGUGAAAGCCCCCGGCUCAACCGGGGAGGGUCAUUGGAAACUGGGAAACUUGAGUGCAGAAGAGGAGAGUGGAAUUCCACGUGUAGCGGUGAAAUGCGUAGAGAUGUGGAGGAACACCAGUGGCGAAGGCGACUCUCUGGUCUGUAACUGACGCUGAGGAGCGAAAGCGUGGGGAGCGAACAGGAUUAGAUACCCUGGUAGUCCACGCCGUAAACGAUGAGUGCUAAGUGUUAGGGGGUUUCCGCCCCUUAGUGCUGCAGCUAACGCAUUAAGCACUCCGCCUGGGGAGUACGGUCGCAAGACUGAAACUCAAAGGAAUUGACGGGGGCCCGCACAAGCGGUGGAGCAUGUGGUUUAAUUCGAAGCAACGCGAAGAACCUUACCAGGUCUUGACAUCCUCUGACAACCCUAGAGAUAGGGCUUUCCCUUCGGGGACAGAGUGACAGGUGGUGCAUGGUUGUCGUCAGCUCGUGUCGUGAGAUGUUGGGUUAAGUCCCGCAACGAGCGCAACCCUUGAUCUUAGUUGCCAGCAUUUAGUUGGGCACUCUAAGGUGACUGCCGGUGACAAACCGGAGGAAGGUGGGGAUGACGUCAAAUCAUCAUGCCCCUUAUGACCUGGGCUACACACGUGCUACAAUGGACAGAACAAAGGGCUGCGAGACCGCAAGGUUUAGCCAAUCCCAUAAAUCUGUUCUCAGUUCGGAUCGCAGUCUGCAACUCGACUGCGUGAAGCUGGAAUCGCUAGUAAUCGCGGAUCAGCAUGCCGCGGGUGAAUACGUUCCCGGGCCUUGUACACACCGCCCGUCACACCACGAGAGUUUGCAACACCCGAAGUCGGUGAGGUAACCUUUAUGGAGCCAGCCGCCGAAGGUGGGGCAGAUGAUUGG
rnacentral:rRNA from 2 species